rnacentral:Y_RNA from 1 species
AGCUGGUCCAAUGAUAAUGGGUUCUCAGAAUUUAUUAACAUUAGUAUCACUAAAGUUGAUAUACACCCAGCCCCCUGCUAAUUUUGACUGGCUUAAA